GGGGAAUAUUGCACAAUGGGCGCAAGCCUGAUGCAGCCAUGCCGCGUGUGUGAAGAAGGCCUUCGGGUUGUAAAGCACUUUCAGCGGGGAGGAAGGCGAUAAGGUUAAUAACCUUGUCGAUUGACGUUACCCGCAGAAGAAGCACCGGCUAACUCCGUGCCAGCAGCCGCGGUAAUACGGAGGGUGCAAGCGUUAAUCGGAAUUACUGGGCGUAAAGCGCACGCAGGCGGUCUGUCAAGUCGGAUGUGAAAGCCCCGGGCUCAACCUGGGAACUGCAUUCGAAACUGGCAGGCUAGAGUCUUGUAGAGGGGGGUAGAAUUCCAGGUGUAGCGGUGAAAUGCGUAGAGAUCUGGAGGAAUACCGGUGGCGAAGGCGGCCCCCUGGACAAAGACUGACGCUCAGGUGCGAAAGCGUGGGGAGCAAAC
rnacentral:rRNA from 1 species